GACGCCGGUGCGUGCGCGCUGCGGGAGGCCGGCCGGGAACCCGGAGCCCAAGUCGGAGCCCGAGCGGGAGCGGCGGCCCCUCGGCGGAGCCGGGUCUCAGCCACUGCAGCAGGCAUCAUGGCCGUGGACGUGGCGGAAUACCACCUGAGCGUCAUCAAGAGUCCCCCUGACUGGGAGGUCGGUGUCUAUGCUGCCGGGGCCCUGGCGCUGCUGGCAAUUGCAGCCGUGAGCCUGUGGAAGCUCUGGACAUCCGGGAGCUUCCCUAGCCCCUCCCCGUUCCCAAACUACGACUACCGGUACCUUCAGCAGAAGUAUGGCGAGACCUACACAGAGGCCAGG